AUUGAACGCUGGCGGCAGGCCUAACACAUGCAAGUCGAAUGGUAACAGGAAACAGCUUGCUGUUUCGCUGACGAGUGGCGGACGGGUGAGUAAUGUCUGGGAAACUGCCUGAUGGAGGGGGUUAACUACUGGAAACGGUAGCUAAUACCGCAUAACGUCGCAAGACCAAAGAGGGGGACCUUCGGGCCUCUUGCCAUCAGAUGUGCCCAGAUGGGAUUAGCUAGUAGGUGGGGUAACGGCUCACCUAGGCGACGAUCCCUAGCUGGUCUGAGAGGAUGACCAGCCACACUGGAACUGAGACACGGUCCAGACUCCUACGGGAGGCAGCAGUGGGGAAUAUUGCACAAUGGGCGCAAGCCUGAUGCAGCCAUGCCGCGUGUAUGAAGAAGGCCUUCGGGUUGUAAAGUACUUUCAGCGGGGAGGAAGGGAGUAAAGUUAAUACCUUUGCUCAUUGACGUUACCCGCAGAAGAAGCACCGGCUAACUCCGUG
rnacentral:rRNA from 1 species